GGGCAGGAUGUGGAAUAGACAUGAGUAACACAUCUCAAAGAACACCAGUUAUGGAAAAGGCGGUGCACGUGGACAGGAGUGCCACGUGAUCCCUCAUCUGUGACCGGGAGGUGCCCUUGACAAGUCGAGCGUCCCGAUAGGGGAAUAUCUGGACCCACCGCCAUCUGAGAGCUUUCCCAUCAAACGGGAGAUCCUGCGUGGAAGACUGUGCCUCACUGGACAGCCCAGAGAGCAGGAGCCAUGACGCCUGUCUCAUGGACACCGCGGAGGCCAUUGAUCAUGCGGCUGUGUCCGCAGCAUCCGAGGCUGCCUGCAGGGACACCCUAGCGGCUGCUGCCCCUUCCUCCGCUAGUGCCUUAAA